GCGCAAGAGUAAACAGGAAAAAGGUCGAAGUAGUGUCCAGCAAAAGUGGUCGUUUGUUGAGAAAUUAUGAUUUAAAGCAAGCUAUAAAACUCCAGCAGAUGAUGGAAUUUUAAGAGGAGGUCGUGAAAAACCUUUCCUCAGUGCUGCUUGAGCAUGAAAGACAUGCUAACUAAUAACAUGCUACUCGAAGUGAGAGAGUCCCAAAUGUUGACGUUGAAGUCGUCGUAACCGGCCAGAAUGAGGCGUCCAGACAGGGAGGGGGCCAGUGAGGUGACACCACACAUGAUGCUGGAGUCCUGGUAGGUGAGGAGCUCCUGGUCAGCCCUCAGGUCGUACAGCUUACAGGUGGCGUCGUCAGAGCCUGUGAUGACUGCGUUGCCGUUGGGGAAGAACUGCAACGAGAGGAAAGCGAGGCAGACUUCUUGAUAGGGGUGUCCCAAUUGAAGUGCUCUAAGCGUGUUCCUCACCAGGUGCAGUCUCCAGAGCUGGUGAUGAUCUCUGUGUCACUGAGGAAACGACAGCAGGAAAGCCAGCUCGCGCAUGACCUUGACGUUGCCGUCCUUGCCCUUGAGAUUGUAGAUGGAGCACAUGUUGUCGAGACCCCCGCACGCCACAAGGUUGCCCGAAGCUCUUAACAGGGUGAGGCCAUUCAGUGUCUCGUGAGGCGUGUGUGGAGACCGUCGCCCCCGAUAACCAUCUCCUGCAGAUGCCACCGCCUGUGAAGAAACACCAGAAUGCAUUAAUGAGGCAAGAUGUCAUGACUCCAUCCAGGACCACCCGGUUGGUGCCGUUUAAGAGCAGGUCGUCCAUGGUGAUGGUCACACCCACCUGAGGGACUGGACCACCUGGAGAAAGGACAAACAGGAAAGGGUAAGUAUUGCAAGUUGUGCUUAAAAGCACCACAGAAAGUAUGCAUGUUUGACCUGCAUAAAAGCCGCUGUCAUCCACAUCCUCUUCCUGCUCGUCUUCUUUCACUUUUUCAUUCAUUUUCUCUUUCUCAGCUCUGGCCCCCCAAAAACCGUCAUUACUUUUAACUUGAAUUUGUGGCCAACUUGUCUUUGAGGCUGUCUUACCUCCAUGUUUCCCUGAGGGAUUCAGGAACGACAUCCUCUGGGGUCCAAAGAUCCUGCACAGGAAAACACUUUUAAAAAAUGUCCCCAAGAAGUGGAAUAGUGUACAUUUAUGGUGACUUACUGGGUCAAUGAAGGUAAAAUUUAAAUGCUCCAUACUAAAAUACAGCAGCUUCUUCUCCUGUAACGAGCGCCUGACGUAACGAGCGAUCUCCUGUGUGAUAAACACAAAAAUUACAUGUCAUACUCCAUAUUUGGAGUUAACAAAUGGAGGUGACAAAUGUUGGUCACCUGAAAUAUUUGCAUAUUUUUGCUUAGUUUACAUAAAUUCUGCAAAACUGAUUGCAUCUGACAGAAUAUCAACCAUUGAAUAUGAAGGAAAAAUUGGCAUCAUUGCAAUGCUCAUAGUACCUGAGCAGACUGUGACUCCCUGUCUCCCCCUAGUGUCUCAACGUAGAGCUGCAGGUUGUCCAAGGAGUCCGUAUCAGAAGGGUAGAAAAGAAGAAGGGAACGAAGCGUCCGCACUGCACCUCUGACAUCUCCAGCUGUGAGGAAGCAAUGACACGUAUAAAAGUCAUCAAAUCAGUCAAAUCUACUUACAUAUUUGAUGGACAAAAGUCUGACGACACACUAAUUAAUCAAUCGCAGGUUGGAUUAGAACCUUUCGUCUCCCCCCAAGUGUUAAUUAUGUAUCUGAGCAAGGCAUUUUGGACAAUUCCAGGCCAUUUUCUGUUCCCAGUUAAAACACAUGGUCAAUACAAGCAUAUUUGGAGUUUUGUGGGGAAGAACUGCCAAACGUCUUUGGGAUGAACUAGAACAGAGAUUGUGCAACUUCUGACCGCUCAAAUGAACAAAAAUCCUCACAAUGUUGUUGAGGGUCUUCUUAUAAGAGUACAAGGAAAGUUCCACUUCCAUUUUUGCUUCUUGUAGGUGUCAUGACUGCAUGUCCCAAUACUUUUUUUCAUGAAGGUGUACUCGGACCUCAAUUUUCACUGAUAAUUUCUAUUGUAACGUUGAUAGUGUCAAGAACAUCCUCUUCAACAGAACCACAAUAUGUCACAAUCGAUGUGUGUCAUGUGGCGUACCACAGGGCUAUGUUCCCAGUCCUAUGUUGUUUAUUACCCGGACUCAAAAAGUCUCAAACUGAUUUCAAGCACAUUUUGUAGAGGUGUACAGUGUGGGCCAAGGAAAGCAACGGUUAAUUUGGGGUUGGAUCCAGACAGCUUGGAUUAUUAAUUUGUCAUAGUGACACACAUUACAUUGGAUGACAAGGAAAAAGGUGUCACGGCUACGUGUCCAAUACUUUUGUCCAUGAAAGUGAACGAAAGCAUCCAUUUUUCCUGUUGACUUCAAAGUCCUCAUCAACAGACCCACAACAUAUCACAAUCACUACUGAUUCUGGCAUACCCCAGGGCUGUGUUCUAAGUCCAUGUACGAUGUUGUUUGUUACCAACUUAACUCAAAAACUACCUCACCUACUUCAAGAAACUUUGUAGAAGAGUCAACCAAAGAACGCAUCAUUUAGUUUUGGCUUGAAUUUGCAGAGCAGGAUAAAUUUAAAAUGGUGACACUUAACAUAUUGAAUAACAAUAAUAGCUACCAUUGUAGUUUUUCAGUCAUUUUUUUUGCCAGUUGAUGAUAACUGCCGCAAAUGAAAGUGUUACAUUUUGUAAUUUUAGAAACACAAACCUUUAAACUGUGCAAUGUGCAUGUGCUCCAGCUGAGUGGGCAGGAAGUCCUCCUGAGAGGAGAUCCUACCGGGACGUGUGGCCACCCGCGUCACACACGACUGUUGGCAAGACAGCAGCGACAAGGAAAGCGCUGGAUGACAAAAAAAACAUCAGUAAAAAAAUGAUGUGUCGUAUUUUUGGGUUUUGGCAGAAAAACACUUGUGUCAUACCUGCAGCUUUCUCGAACACGCCAUCCACGCUGUCCACUCCCCUGUCCUCAGGCAUGCGCUGGCAAGCCACCACACACUGCACCCUGCACUCUUCUGUCUGACGCAGCGUUUCGUUCACGCACGCUCGCCAUGCGUCCACCGCCUGCGCCCACUCAGACAACGCCUCAUGCUGGAGUGCGGAAUCAUACAGCGCCUGUGUAUGCAAAAAAAAUCUUUAUUAAAGACUGAUGAAGACCAUCCGAACCACUGAAAACUACAGUGAAUUCCAUAAAAAGUCAGCAUCAUUAUCUUUGUAAAGACCUUCUUUUUAGAUCAUUCCUCACCCAGUGCUUUUCACUCGCUGUCUCUCUGUCCUGAAAGGCUUCCUCGCUCACUCCCUCCAUCCUUCUGUACUUCUCAAUGUUGUUCCUCAUCUCCAGGUGACCGGGGUUGGCCACGAAGUAAGUCUGAGCCGCCGACGCCGCCUUCUGCAACUUUUCCAUCUGAUAAAUACAUUCAAUAGCAUACAUGUCAUACAAGUUGUAUAAUCAUUAACACAAUGGUCAAUAACCAUUGGCCAUUUUUUUCAACUGAUCGUAUUCAAAAUUUUCACACAUGUCCGUCCCCUAAAAGGUAUGUACCAAAUUUCAUGGUGAUUGGACUAAACACUCUAAAUUUACAGUGAGUGUUUUAUAGAGCUAUGUGAGAAAUUUCAAGCCAAUCCAACUAAUGGGGUUGAAAAAGAGCACUACCAUGUGGUGUAUUUUCCAGAAACAUAAUAGCACAGGCAACACGGUAGGGAUGCAUGUUUUCACCAAUUUUCAUCCUUUUGUGUACAGGAGUGGAAAACUUUUUAACACUUAUACAGUAGUACAUACCUUAUUUCAAUGUUAUACUCUCACAACA